rnacentral:rRNA from 1 species
GAUGAACGCUCGCUGUGUGCCUAAUACAUGCAUGUUGAACGGGAUGUAGCAAUGCAUUCAGUAGCGAAUGGGUGAGUAACACGUACCUAACCUACCUUUAAGACUGGGAUAACUAUUGGAAACAAUAGCUAAUACCGGAUAUAGUUAUUUAUCGCAUGAUGAGUAAUAGAAAGGAGCUUCACAGCUUCACUUAAAAAUGGGGGUGCGGAACAUUAGUUAGUUGGUAGGGUAAUGGCCUACCAAGACGAUGAUGUUUAGCCGGGCCGAGAGGCUGUACGGCCACACUGGGACUGAGAUACGGCCCAGACUCCUACGGGAGGCAGCAGUAAGGAAUUUUCCACAAUGAGCGAAAGCUUGAUGGAGCGACACAGCGUGCAGGAUGAAGUUCUUCGGAAUGUAAACUGCUGUUAUAAGGGAAGAAAAAAUAGAAUAGGAAAUGAUUUUAUCUUGACGGUACCUUAUUAGAAAGCGACGGCAAACUAUGUGCCAGCAGCUGCGGUAAUACAUAGGUCGCAAGCGUUAUCCGGAAUUAUUGGGCGUAAAGCGUCCGUAGGUUUUUUGCUAAGUCUGGAGUUAAAUGCUGAAGCUCAACUUCAGUCCGCUUUGGAUACUGGCAAAAUAGAAUUAUAAAGAGGUUAGCGGAAUUCCUAGUGAAGCGGUGGAAUGCGUAGAUAUUAGGAAGAACACCAAUAGGCGAAGGCAGCUAACUGGUUAUAUAUUGACACUAAGGGACGAAAGCGUGUGGAGCAAACAGG